AGGAAAAAAAGAACCAUUUGGCUAUA
rnacentral:piRNA from 1 species